UUACCGGAUUGCCCUGAGCUACUCGGAGGCCAAGAAGCUCGUCGAGGCCAACGACUGGGGUUCCCUCUUCGAGAAGGAUCAGUGGGGGACUCCCUCGCUGUGUUUCUGUCAGAGCUCUGCAAGUGUUCAUUUGGUGUUCUGAACCGAGCAGCUAAAGACUGAAAGGGAGAACGGAGAUUUCAGAGGGUGGAAUGAGGGCAAGAUCUUCUUUGCUCCGACAUAAAAGUACUCCUGAAAUUCCGACAGUUAUGCAGGGGAGGACGUCACGUCGAAGAAGAAGCGGAGAACACCAGCAUGGUGUGACCGGAUCCUUUGGCAUGGUGAAGGGAUAGUGCAACUGUCCUACAUCCGGGGGGAAUCCAAAUUUUCAGACCAUCGCCCCGUCUGCAGUGUGUUCAUUGUUGAGAUUGCGGUUCUCGACAGCAAACUUAUCAAGGUUGCAUCGGGUCCUAACAUGAAAGUCGGAAGAACUCCUAAUUGCCCACCAAGUAGCAGAUGAUAACACAGCAUUUGCUCAAGUUCAUACACCACACACACAUGGUCAUUCAGGCUUGGAGCACUAACUUCAAAUAUUGUGUACACUACUGAACGUAGGUAACUAAUGAGAAGCAUGUCCUGAAGUGCUUCCUAGCUGGCUAGAUGCACUCUGGGCUAACUGAAGCUCCACAUAUUUGUUGUUUCGUUGUUAUUUCAGCAAUCAAUAUUUUUACCUUCUGCAUCGGUUGGAAACCAAAGGGUUCCCAAGACCAUGUAUGUAUCUACGGCUGAUAUCAGACCUUGGACUUUAUGGACAUUGGACAAUGAUUAA